AUUGAACGCUGGCGGCAUGCCUUACACAUGCAAGUCGAACGGCAGCACGGGAGCAAUCCUGGUGGCGAGUGGCGAACGGGUGAGUAAUAUAUCGGAACGUGCCCAGUCGUGGGGAUAGCGUAGCGAAAGCUACGCUAAUACCGCAUACGAUCUAUGGAUGAAAGCGGGGGAUCGCAAGACCUCGCGCGAUUGGAGCGGCCGAUAUCAGAUUAGGUAGUUGGUGAGGUAAAGGCUCACCAAGCCGACGAUCUGUAGCUGGUCUGAGAGGACGACCAGCCACACUGGGACUGAGACACGGCCCAGACUCCUACGGGAGGCAGCAGUGGGGAAUUUUGGACAAUGGGCGCAAGCCUGAUCCAGCAAUGCCGCGUGCAGGAUGAAGGCCUUCGGUUGUAAC
rnacentral:rRNA from 1 species